rnacentral:rRNA from 1 species
GAGUUUGAUCUUGGCUCAGGAUGAACGCCGGCGGUGUGCCUAAUACAUGCAAGUCGUACGCACUGGCCCAACUGAUUGAUGGUGCUUGCACCUGAUCGACGAUGGAUCACCAGUGAGUGGCGGACGGGUGAGUAACACGUAGGUAACCUGCCCUGUACAGGGGGAUAACAAUCAGAAAUGACUGCUAAUACCGCAUAAGACCACAGCACCGCAUGGUGCAGGGGUAAAAACUCCGGUGGUACAGGAUGGACCCGCGUCUGAUUAGCUGGUUGGUGAGGUAACGGCUCACCAAGGCGACGAUCAGUAGCCGGCUUGAGAGAGUGAACGGCCACAUUGGGACUGAGACACGGCCCAAACUCCUACGGGAGGCAGCAGUGGGGAAUAUUGCACAAUGGGGGAAACCCUGAUGCAGCAACGCCGCGUGAGUGAAGAGUAUUUCGGUAUGUAAAGCUCUAUCAGCAGGGAAGAAAGUGACGGUACCUGACUAAGAAGCCCCGGCUAACUACG